CUGAAUGUCAAAGUGAAGAAAUUCAAUGAA
rnacentral:piRNA from 2 species